GAUUAAGUUAUUAAGGGCGCACGGUGGAUGCCUUGGCACUAGAAGCCGAUGAAGGACGUUACUAACGACGAUAUGCUUUGGGGAGCUGUAAGUAAGCUUUGAUCCAGAGAUUUCCGAAUGGGGAAACCCAGCAUGAGUUAUGUCAUGUUAUCGAUAUGUGAAUACAUAGCAUAUCAGAAGGCACACCCGGAGAACUGAAACAUCUUAGUACCCGGAGGAAGAGAAAGAAAAUUCGAUUCUCUUAGUAGCGGCGAGCGAAACGGGAAGAGCCCAAACCAACAAGCUUGCUUGUUGGGGUUGUAGGACACUCUAUACGGAGUUACAAAGGACGACAUUAGACGAAUCAUCUGGAAAGAUGAAUCAAAGAAGGUAAUAAUCCUGUAGUCGAAAAUGUUGUCUCUCUUGAGUGGAUCCUGAGUACGACGGAGCACGUGAAAUUCCGUCGGAAUCUGGGAGGACCAUCUCCUAAGGCUAAAUACUCUCUAGUGACCGAUAGUGAACCAGUACCGUGAGGGAAAGGUGAAAAGCACCCCGGAAGGGGAGUGAAAUAGAACCUGAAAUCGUGUGCUUACAAGUAGUCAGAGCCCGUUAAUGGGUGAUGGCGUGCCUUUUGUAGAAUGAACCGGCGAGUUACGAUUUGAUGCAAGGUUAAGCAGUAAAUGUGGAGCCGUAGCGAAAGCGAGUCUGAAUAGGGCGUUUAGUAUUUGGUCGUAGACCCGAAACCAGGUGAUCUACCCUUGGUCAGGUUGAAGUUCAGGUAACACUGAAUGGAGGACCGAACCGACUUACGUUGAAAAGUGAGCGGAUGAACUGAGGGUAGCGGAGAAAUUCCAAUCGAACCUGGAGAUAGCUGGUUCUCUCCGAAAUAGCUUUAGGGCUAGCCUCAAGUGAUGAUUAUUGGAGGUAGAGCACUGUUUGGACGAGGGGCCCCUCUCGGGUUACCGAAUUCAGACAAACUCCGAAUGCCAAUUAAUUUAACUUGGGAGUCAGAACAUGGGUGAUAAGGUCCGUGUUCGAAAGGGAAACAGCCCAGACCACCAGCUAAGGUCCCAAAAUAUAUGUUAAGUGGAAAAGGAUGUGGCGUUGCCCAGACAACUAGGAUGUUGGCUUAGAAGCAGCCAUCAUUUAAAGAGUGCGUAAUAGCUCACUAGUCGAGUGACACUGCGCCGAAAAUGUACCGGGGCUAAACAUAUUACCGAAGCUGUGGAUUGUCCUUUGGACAAUGGUAGGAGAGCGUUCUAAGGGCGUUGAAGCAUGAUCGUAAGGACAUGUGGAGCGCUUAGAAGUGAGAAUGCCGGUGUGAGUAGCGAAAGACGGGUGAGAAUCCCGUCCACCGAUUGACUAAGGUUUCCAGAGGAAGGCUCGUCCGCUCUGGGUUAGUCGGGUCCUAAGCUGAGGCCGACAGGCGUAGGCGAUGGAUAACAGGUUGAUAUUCCUGUACCACCUAUAAUCGUUUUAAUCGAUGGGGGGACGCAGUAGGAUAGGCGAAGCGUGCGAUUGGAUUGCACGUCUAAGCAGUAAGGCUGAGUAUUAGGCAAAUCCGGUACUCGUUAAGGCUGAGCUGUGAUGGGGAGAAGACAUUGUGUCUUCGAGUCGUUGAUUUCACACUGCCGAGAAAAGCCUCUAGAUAGAAAAUAGGUGCCCGUACCGCAAACCGACACAGGUAGUCAAGAUGAGAAUUCUAAGGUGAGCGAGCGAACUCUCGUUAAGGAACUCGGCAAAAUGACCCCGUAACUUCGGGAGAAGGGGUGCUCUUUAGGGUUAACGCCCAGAAGAGCCGCAGUGAAUAGGCCCAAGCGACUGUUUAUCAAAAACACAGGUCUCUGCUAAACCGUAAGGUGAUGUAUAGGGGCUGACGCCUGCCCGGUGCUGGAAGGUUAAGAGGAGUGGUUAGCUUCUGCGAAGCUACGAAUCGAAGCCCCAGUAAACGGCGGCCGUAACUAUAACGGUCCUAAGGUAGCGAAAUUCCUUGUCGGGUAAGUUCCGACCCGCACGAAAGGCGUAACGAUUUGGGCACUGUCUCAACGAGAGACUCGGUGAAAUCAUAGUACCUGUGAAGAUGCAGGUUACCCGCGACAGGACGGAAAGACCCCGUGGAGCUUUACUGUAGCCUGAUAUUGAAAUUCGGCACAGCUUGUACAGGAUAGGUAGGAGCCUUUGAAACGUGAGCGCUAGCUUACGUGGAGGCGCUGGUGGGAUACUACCCUAGCUGUGUUGGCUUUCUAACCCGCACCACUUAUCGUGGUGGGAGACAGUGUCAGGCGGGCAGUUUGACUGGGGCGGUCGCCUCCUAAAAGGUAACGGAGGCGCUCAAAGGUUCCCUCAGAAUGGUUGGAAAUCAUUCAUAGAGUGUAAAGGCAUAAGGGAGCUUGACUGCGAGACCUACAAGUCGAGCAGGGUCGAAAGACGGACUUAGUGAUCCGGUGGUUCCGCAUGGAAGGGCCAUCGCUCAACGGAUAAAAGCUACCCCGGGGAUAACAGGCUUAUCUCCCCCAAGAGUUCACAUCGACGGGGAGGUUUGGCACCUCGAUGUCGGCUCAUCGCAUCCUGGGGCUGUAGUCGGUCCCAAGGGUUGGGCUGUUCGCCCAUUAAAGCGGUACGCGAGCUGGGUUCAGAACGUCGUGAGACAGUUCGGUCCCUAUCCGUCGUGGGCGUAGGAAAUUUGAGAGGAGCUGUCCUUAGUACGAGAGGACCGGGAUGGACAUACCUCUGGUGUACCAGUUGUCGUGCCAACGGCAUAGCUGGGUAGCUAUGUGUGGACGGGAUAAGUGCUGAAAGCAUCUAAGCAUGAAGCCCCCCUCAAGAUGAGAUUUCCCAACUUCGGUUAUAAGAUCCCUCAAAGAUGAUGAGGUUAAUAGGUUCGAGGUGGAAGCAUGGUGACAUGUGGAGCUGACGAAUACUAAUCGAUCGAAGACUUAAUCAA
rnacentral:rRNA from 1 species